rnacentral:rRNA from 1 species
UACGUAGGGUGCAGGCGUUAAUCGGAAUUACUGGGCGUAAAGCGUGCGCAGGCGGUUUCUUAAGUCAGAUGUGAAAGCCCCGGGCUUAACCUGGGAACUGCGUUUGAAACUGGGAGACUUGAGUGUGGCAGAGGGGGGUGGAAUUCCACGUGUAGCAGUGAAAUGCGUAGAUAUCGGGAGGAACACCAGUGGCGAAGGCGGCUGCCUGGGCCAGUUCUGACGCUGAGGCGCGAAAGCGUGGGGAGCAAAGGGAGUAGA